rnacentral:siRNA from 1 species
UCGAGUGGGUCCUCUAUUGGC